UUAAGCGACUAAGCGUACACGGUGGAUGCCCUGGCAGUCAGAGGCGAUGAAGGACGUGCUAAUCUGCGAUAAGCGUCGGUAAGGUGAUAUGAACCGUUAUAACCGGCGAUUUCCGAAUGGGGAAACCCAGUGUGUUUCGACACACUAUCAUUAACUGAAUCCAUAGGUUAAUGAGGCGAACCGGGGGAACUGAAACAUCUAAGUACCCCGAGGAAAAGAAAUCAACCGAGAUUCCCCCAGUAGCGGCGAGCGAACGGGGAGCAGCCCAGAGCCUGAAUCAGUGUGUGUGUUAGUGGAAGCGUCUGGAAAGGCGCGCGAUACAGGGUGACAGCCCCGUACACAAAAAUGCACAUGCUGUGAGCUCGAUGAGUAGGGCGGGACACGUGGUAUCCUGUCUGAAUAUGGGGGGACCAUCCUCCAAGGCUAAAUACUCCUGACUGACCGAUAGUGAACCAGUACCGUGAGGGAAAGGCGAAAAGAACCCCGGCGAGGGGAGUGAAAAAGAACCUGAAACCGUGUACGUACAAGCAGUGGGAGCACGCUUAGGCGUGUGACUGCGUACCUUUUGUAUAAUGGGUCAGCGACUUAUAUUCUGUAGCAAGGUUAACCGAAUAGGGGAGCCGAAGGGAAACCGAGUCUUAACUGGGCGUUAAGUUGCAGGGUAUAGACCCGAAACCCGGUGAUCUAGCCAUGGGCAGGUUGAAGGUUGGGUAACACUAACUGGAGGACCGAACCGACUAAUGUUGAAAAAUUAGCGGAUGACUUGUGGCUGGGGGUGAAAGGCCAAUCAAACCGGGAGAUAGCUGGUUCUCCCCGAAAGCUAUUUAGGUAGCGCCUCGUGAAUUCAUCUCCGGGGGUAGAGCACUGUUUCGGCAAGGGGGUCAUCCCGACUUACCAACCCGAUGCAAACUGCGAAUACCGGAGAAUGUUAUCACGGGAGACACACGGCGGGUGCUAACGUCCGUCGUGAAGAGGGAAACAACCCAGACCGCCAGCUAAGGUCCCAAAGUCAUGGUUAAGUGGGAAACGAUGUGGGAAGGCCCAGACAGCCAGGAUGUUGGCUUAGAAGCAGCCAUCAUUUAAAGAAAGCGUAAUAGCUCACUGGUCGAGUCGGCCUGCGCGGAAGAUGUAACGGGGCUAAACCAUGCACCGAAGCUGCGGCAGCGACACUAUGUGUUGUUGGGUAGGGGAGCGUUCUGUAAGCCUGUGAAGGUGUACUGUGAGGUAUGCUGGAGGUAUCAGAAGUGCGAAUGCUGACAUAAGUAACGAUAAAGCGGGUGAAAAGCCCGCUCGCCGGAAGACCAAGGGUUCCUGUCCAACGUUAAUCGGGGCAGGGUGAGUCGACCCCUAAGGCGAGGCCGAAAGGCGUAGUCGAUGGGAAACAGGUUAAUAUUCCUGUACUUGGUGUUACUGCGAAGGGGGGACGGAGAAGGCUAUGUUGGCCGGGCGACGGUUGUCCCGGUUUAAGCGUGUAGGCUGGUUUUCCAGGCAAAUCCGGAAAAUCAAGGCUGAGGCGUGAUGACGAGGCACUACGGUGCUGAAGCAACAAAUGCCCUGCUUCCAGGAAAAGCCUCUAAGCAUCAGGUAACAUCAAAUCGUACCCCAAACCGACACAGGUGGUCAGGUAGAGAAUACCAAGGCGCUUGAGAGAACUCGGGUGAAGGAACUAGGCAAAAUGGUGCCGUAACUUCGGGAGAAGGCACGCUGAUAUGUAGGUGAAGUCCCUCGCGGAUGGAGCUGAAAUCAGUCGAAGAUACCAGCUGGCUGCAACUGUUUAUUAAAAACACAGCACUGUGCAAACACGAAAGUGGACGUAUACGGUGUGACGCCUGCCCGGUGCCGGAAGGUUAAUUGAUGGGGUUAGCGCAAGCGAAGCUCUUGAUCGAAGCCCCGGUAAACGGCGGCCGUAACUAUAACGGUCCUAAGGUAGCGAAAUUCCUUGUCGGGUAAGUUCCGACCUGCACGAAUGGCGUAAUGAUGGCCAGGCUGUCUCCACCCGAGACUCAGUGAAAUUGAACUCGCUGUGAAGAUGCAGUGUACCCGCGGCAAGACGGAAAGACCCCGUGAACCUUUACUAUAGCUUGACACUGAACAUUGAGCCUUGAUGUGUAGGAUAGGUGGGAGGCUUNGAAGUGUGGACGCCAGUCUGCAUGGAGCCGACCUUGAAAUACCACCCUUUAAUGUUUGAUGUUCUAACGUUGACCCGUAAUCCGGGUUGCGGACAGUGUCUGGUGGGUAGUUUGACUGGGGCGGUCUCCUCCUAAAGAGUAACGGAGGAGCACGAAGGUUGGCUAAUCCUGGUCGGACAUCAGGAGGUUAGUGCAAUGGCAUAAGCCAGCUUGACUGCGAGCGUGACGGCGCGAGCAGGUGCGAAAGCAGGUCAUAGUGAUCCGGUGGUUCUGAAUGGAAGGGCCAUCGCUCAACGGAUAAAAGGUACUCCGGGGAUAACAGGCUGAUACCGCCCAAGAGUUCAUAUCGACGGCGGUGUUUGGCACCUCGAUGUCGGCUCAUCACAUCCUGGGGCUGAAGUAGGUCCCAAGGGUAUGGCUGUUCGCCAUUUAAAGUGGUACGCGAGCUGGGUUUAGAACGUCGUGAGACAGUUCGGUCCCUAUCUGCCGUGGGCGCUGGAGAACUGAGGGGGGCUGCUCCUAGUACGAGAGGACCGGAGUGGACGCAUCACUGGUGUUCGGGUUGUCAUGCCAAUGGCACUGCCCGGUAGCUAAAUGCGGAAGAGAUAAGUGCUGAAAGCAUCUAAGCACGAAACUUGCCCCGAGAUGAGUUCUCCCUGACNGUCCUGAAGGAACGUUGAAGACGACGACGUUGAUAGGCCGGGUGUGUAAGCGCAGCGAUGCGUUGAGCUAACCGGUACUAAUGAACCGUGAGGCUUAACCUU
rnacentral:rRNA from 1 species